rnacentral:lncRNA from 1 species
AGCGGUUGUGGCAGGAAAAAAGAACGAGCCGCAGCCAUACCUUCCACCUCUCGUCAACUGUUUGUGCCCUCCCUUAACGAUCGGCACCAAAAGUACUGAGUCUACUUCAAUUGCAAAGACAGGCUCAACGAUCGACACAAGGGGGGCCAACCAUCUCCGAUCCAAGUUCAGGCCAAGCACGACGACCGGCGCCUGAACGAUCUGG